CGGCCGCCAGGAUGUGCCCCCGGCCCCGUCGUCGCCGCGCCCGCGCCCCUCGCCCCAGUACGUCUUUUUUCGUUUCCUAAAUUUCUUAUUUUUGUCCUUGCAAGUGGUCCUGUCUGGUGUGAACCGUCAGCACAGAUGGCCUCCUGGAGCUUCCCCGAGUCGUUCGCUGGGGGAAGCGGGCGGUGAGCGGCCAGCCCGGGCGCUCCGCAGGCCGCGAGCUCCCGGCAGGGCUGGUGGCGGGGGUCCGCCUGGGGGAGGAAUCCCCGCCUGCUCCAUCGGACCCGGCCUGGCGCGGCUCGCGGCGCUCGGCGGGCUCCCUUCCAUUCUAGAAUCUUCCCGCUUGCUUCCCAGCCCGCGUUCUUCCGCCUGCCUUUAAUUGUGUGUGGACGUGGGGAGGAUCUUCUAAGUCCCUCCAACGAAGGCAAGUGUGAGACUCUGGCCCUUUAUUUGUAAGAAGCAAGCCUUCAGAUUGCAGAAGUGUCGCGCGGGUCGCCGUGCGUUGCGCGAGUGGGAAGAUGGAGGAGGCCGGCACGCUGCUUUCGUGGACGCAAGUGAACCGGGCGUGAAGGCAGGGUGCGAGCUCUGCCCUUGGCCCAGCCCUGCGUGGGCGCCGUCCCAGAUUCCGGGCGGUGCGGGGUGCAGAGAUCUGGAGAGACUUGCGGGCUCCCCAGCGCAGGCUGCUCUGGGAUUUCGUUGGAAGAUCCGGCAGAGCCUUGGAGGAGAGGGCCCGGGAGGCUGUGUGUGCAGCGGAAACUUGUACGAAUGCCCCCACAGCGGAAAUGGUGCGCACGAGUAAUUUCUGCGGUGCACCCUUUUAAAAAUUGACAAGUGAACAAGAUCAAUUUUUUAAGAAAGCAAAGGUAGAAAACAAAAGGCGUGCGACUUCUUGACUGGCUUGUUCCCGCCUUUCUUCCUUCUCUAUACUCAGAUCAGAAACUUUUCUUUAAUUGCUCUUAUUCAGUGCGACAACUUUUAAUAAAAGCAUUUGCAUUUUAAGCCUGAGUUGCAACCAUAGAUUUAUUGCGAAGUGACAACGUGUCUAUGGAAUAUUUUCGCAGAUGAGACAGGACAUGCGCUCUAGUCGUGCCCAGAUUAAAGCGACGCUGGGCCAUGUGCCUGUGUAGUGCAGACUCGGAGGGGCACACACAUACUCGUCACCACAUGACCACUGUCUAUUAAUAUUGUCAUACCUAAACACUCGCAAAAACAAAAGUUGCUUUUCUUCCCUGUAAUUAAAUCUAAUUUGUUAAUUGUC
rnacentral:misc_RNA from 1 species